UUAAGCGACUAAGCGUACACGGUGGAUGCCCUGGCAGUCAGAGGCGAUGAAGGACGUGCUAAUCUGCGAAAAGCGUCGGUAAGGUGAUAUGAACCGUUAUAACCGGCGAUGUCCGAAUGGGGAAACCCAGUGCAAUUCGUUGCACUAUCGUUAACUGAAUACAUAGGUUAACGAGGCGAACCGGGGGAACUGAAACAUCUAAGUACCCCGAGGAAAAGAAAUCAACCGAGAUUCCCCCAGUAGCGGCGAGCGAACGGGGAGCAGCCCAGAGUCUGAAUCAGCUUGUGUGUUAGUGGAACGGUCUGGAAAGUCCGACGGUACAGGGUGAUAGUCCCGUACACCAAAAUGCACAGGUUGUGAACUCGAAGAGUAGGGCGGGACACGUGGUAUCCUGUCUGAAUAUGGGGGGACCAUCCUCCAAGGCUAAAUACUCCUGACUGACCGAUAGUGAACCAGUACCGUGAGGGAAAGGCGAAAAGAACCCCGGCGAGGGGAGUGAAAAAGAACCUGAAACCGUGUACGUACAAGCAGUGGGAGCACCUUCGGGUGUGACUGCGUACCUUUUGUAUAAUGGGUCAGCGACUUAUAUUCUGUAGCAAGGUUAACCGUAUAGGGGAGCCGCAGGGAAACCGAGUCUUAACUGGGCGUUAAGUUGCAGGGUAUAGACCCGAAACCCGGUGAUCUAGCCAUGGGCAGGUUGAAGGUUGGGUAACACUAACUGGAGGACCGAACCGACUAAUGUUGAAAAAUUAGCGGAUGACUUGUGGCUGGGGGUGAAAGGCCAAUCAAACCGGGAGAUAGCUGGUUCUCCCCGAAAGCUAUUUAGGUAGCGCCUCGUGAAUUCAUCUUCGGGGGUAGAGCACUGUUUCGGCUAGGGGGUCAUCCCGACUUACCAACCCGAUGCAAACUACGAAUACCGAAGAAUGUUAUCACGGGAGACACACGGCGGGUGCUAACGUCCGUCGUGAAGAGGGAAACAACCCAGACCGCCAGCUAAGGUCCCAAAGUCAUGGUUAAGUGGGAAACGAUGUGGGAAGGCACAGACAGCCAGGAUGUUGGCUUAGAAGCAGCCAUCAUUUAAAGAAAGCGUAAUAGCUCACUGGUCGAGUCGGCCUGCGCGGAAGAUGUAACGGGGCUAAACCAUGCACCGAAGCUGCGGCAGCGACACUAUGUGUUGUUGGGUAGGGGAGCGUUCUGUAAGCCUGCGAAGGUGUGCUGUGAGGCAUGCUGGAGGUAUCAGAAGUGCGAAUGCUGACAUAAGUAACGAUAAAGCGGGUGAAAAGCCCGCUCGCCGGAAGACCAAGGGUUCCUGUCCAACGUUAAUCGGGGCAGGGUGAGUCGACCCCUAAGGCGAGGCCGAAAGGCGUAGUCGAUGGGAAACAGGUUAAUAUUCCUGUACUUGGUGUUACUGCGAAGGGGGGACGGAGAAGGCUAUGUUAGCCGGGCGACGGUUGUCCCGGUUUAAGCAUGUAGGCUGGUUGUCCAGGCAAAUCCGGAUAAUCAAGGCUGAGGUGUGAUGACGAGGCACUACGGUGCUGAAGUAACAAAUGCCCUGCUUCCAGGAAAAGCCUCUAAGCAUCAGGUAACAUUAAAUCGUACCCCAAACCGACACAGGUGGUCAGGUAGAGAAUACCAAGGCGCUUGAGAGAACUCGGGUGAAGGAACUAGGCAAAAUGGUGCCGUAACUUCGGGAGAAGGCACGCUGGUGUGUAGGUGAAGCCCCUGCGGGUGGAGCUGAAAUCAGUCGAAGAUACCAGCUGGCUGCAACUGUUUAUUAAAAACACAGCACUGUGCAAACACGAAAGUGGACGUAUACGGUGUGACGCCUGCCCGGUGCCGGAAGGUUAAUUGAUGGGGUUAUCCGUAAGGAGAAGCUCUUGAUCGAAGCCCCGGUAAACGGCGGCCGUAACUAUAACGGUCCUAAGGUAGCGAAAUUCCUUGUCGGGUAAGUUCCGACCUGCACGAAUGGCGUAAUGAUGGCCAGGCUGUCUCCACCCGAGACUCAGUGAAAUUGAACUCGCUGUGAAGAUGCAGUGUACCCGCGGCAAGACGGAAAGACCCCGUGAACCUUUACUAUAGCUUGACACUGAACAUUGAGCCUUGAUGUGUAGGAUAGGUGGGAGGCUUUGAAGCGUGGACGCCAGUCUGCGUGGAGCCAACCUUGAAAUACCACCCUUUAAUGUUUGAUGUUCUAACGUUGGCCCCUGACCGGGGUUGCGGACAGUGUCUGGUGGGUAGUUUGACUGGGGCGGUCUCCUCCCAAAGCGUAACGGAGGAGCACGAAGGUUAGCUAAUCCUGGUCGGACAUCAGGAGGUUAGUGCAAUGGCAUAAGCUAGCUUGACUGCGAGCGUGACGGCGCGAGCAGGUGCGAAAGCAGGUCAUAGUGAUCCGGUGGUUCUGAAUGGAAGGGCCAUCGCUCAACGGAUAAAAGGUACUCCGGGGAUAACAGGCUGAUACCGCCCAAGAGUUCAUAUCGACGGCGGUGUUUGGCACCUCGAUGUCGGCUCAUCACAUCCUGGGGCUGAAGUAGGUCCCAAGGGUAUGGCUGUUCGCCAUUUAAAGUGGUACGCGAGCUGGGUUUAGAACGUCGUGAGACAGUUCGGUCCCUAUCUGCCGUGGGCGCUGGAGAAUUGAGGGGGGCUGCUCCUAGUACGAGAGGACCGGAGUGGACGCAUCACUGGUGUUCGGGUUGUCAUGCCAAUGGCACUGCCCGGUAGCUAAAUGCGGAAGAGAUAAGUGCUGAAAGCAUCUAAGCACGAAACUUGCCCCGAGAUGAGUUCUCCCUGAGACUUUAAGUCUCCUGAAGGAACGUUGAAGACGACGACGUUGAUAGGCCGGGUGUGUAAGCGCAGCGAUGCGUUGAGCUAACCGGUACUAAUGAACCGUGAGGCUUAACCUU
rnacentral:rRNA from 1 species